CUUGCAGUCAUAUCACAUUGAAAUACCAGUUUCCAUAAAAUCACUGAAGCUAAAUAAUAUUAAGUCUGGUCAGUACCAAGAUGAGCGACUGCUUGGGAAUACCUGGUGCUGUAAG